GUUCCUUUACAUUUUCCCAUAUGUGCUUGGUGCAAAUUGAUCAUGAUCUUUAUCCUUCUGCUUCUAAACACAUCCUUUUUCUUCUUCUCUCCAUACAUUUUCUUCCCUUCUUCAGCUGGCCAUCCUCUUCAGCCUUUAGGCAAGUCAGUUUAAACCAUUCCUUUGUUCUUCGCCAGCACCUCUACCUAUCAGAUUCCUCGACACCCAACAUUAUUUAUCUGUAUCUCCUUACUUGUAUCUCCUUACUUUCUUACAUUUAUUUGCAGUUCAUUCAUACCUACUUUCUGCUUGCAAAGAUUUUAUAAUUCAAAACUGUGGACCAGAAAUGUAACUACUGCCCAUGAGCAGUGACAGACCUGUGGGAAGGAUAAACUUAUAAGUUACCUGUUUCUGGCAGUUGCAGCUGCUGUAGCCUAGUACACUGUCCUUUUUCAAAACAGCUUUGUACUAACCAUACUGCCUUCUCUGGAUAUUCUGUCUCUGCUUGGAUUUCUGAAUUUCAUCCAUGUUGGCCUCGCUACAUGUGUUUGUUGUACACUCUGUUCCCACAGGACAGUGGGCCAGCAUGCACUGUGAGAAUUAAGGGGAACAUUUCUUGUGCAAACACUGAUCCAGCUAGAGCACUUCAAAAGCAUGAUCCAACAGGAGAAAUGGUCACUGAGGCUGCUCUCCUGCAGGGUGUCUGCAGCUCAGAAUAAUAGCUCUUGAGUUAUUAGCUGGUUUUGUUUGGCAUUCAUCUUCUGGAGUUACUGCCAAUGUUAUGUAGGCAGAAGAAAAUGUGAUGAAUAUGUGUCAUUUCCCCUUCUUUCCCCCAGAAUUGUAUAAAAUGGAAGGGCAUAAUUAGAAUGUAAGUAUAAUGGAUCAGGAUUUAUUUAGUGUUUUUCCCAGACUGAACAAAUAAUUUUUGUGUUUGAUUUACAGAUCUUUCAGUUGAAGAAUUUACAGUGGAAACAAAAUAAAUACAAUUUCUCAGUUAUGAGAAUUGAUCAAUUAGGAGAGAAACAGAUGAGAAACAAGCUGUGGCCACAAGCAGGAGGAGUCAGCCUUCUCGUGCACUGUGCACACGCCAGCUGGCAGGACAGGAAUUAGAUGCUGACUAUUCAUCAAAAGUUUUUACAACAGGACUCUGUCAAUGGACAGUAAUGAGCUUGAGCAUGUAGCUGAAAGGCAGCACAAUGAAUAGAGCUGGCUCCAGCUCAGGAUAGAAUAAACUUCAUGCAUGAGGACCAAAACAUCUCUGUAAGUGCCCCCGCAUCAUCAACUGAUGGCAGCACAGCUCUGGGAAUAAACAGACUUUAGCUAAUGGCAGGAAUCGACAGGGGAAACAUGAAACAGAGAAAGCAAGACCAGAAUAACAGCACUGUCAUUUCCAAGAUGUGGACACUGUCUCCUGCAAUAGAAUAGCAGCAGCAGGGCUGCAGAAUCACCGCAUUUGAAGGUAUAUUCUGAUACAAUAACCAAAGUCAAACCUUCUCAAAAUCACUACCCCUCCUUCUUUUUUUUUCCUCUUGCAACUUUCUUU